UUUAAAGAUGACCAAAAUAAUCAAUUCAAACUAGAGUUUGUGACUAUUAAGAAUGAUCACAACGUUAUCAAUGUUACUGAAG
rnacentral:snoRNA from 1 species